rnacentral:tRNA from 1 species
GCCUGGGUGGCUCAGUCGGUUGAGCGUCCGACUUCAGCUCAAGUCAUGGCCUUGCAGUUCAUGGGUUCAAGCCCCGUGCCGGGCU